UACGUAGGGUGCAAGCGUUAAUCGGAAUUACUGGGCGUAAAGCGUGCGCAGGCGGUGAUGUAAGACAGGUGUGAAAUCCCCAGGCUCAACCUGGGAACUGCGUCUGAUACUGGAUGGCUUGAAUCCGGGAGAGGGAUGCAGAAUUCCAGGUGUAGCGGUGAAAUGCGUAGAUAUCUGGAGGAAUACCGGUGGCGAAGGCGGCAUCCUGGACCGACAUUGACGCUGAUGAGCGAAAGCUAGGGGAGCAAACGGG
rnacentral:rRNA from 1 species